ACUGUGUUAGUAUAAUUAAGUACACUUGCCUUCCAAGCAAUCAGUUUGAACACAUCAACCACGGUA
rnacentral:tRNA from 1 species